rnacentral:rRNA from 1 species
UGGGGAAUAUUGCACAAUGGGCGGAAGCCUGAUGCAGCGACGCCGCGUGAGGGAUGACGGCCUUCGGGUUGUAAACCUCUUUCAGUAGGGACGAAGCGUAAGUGACUGUACCUGCAGAAGCAGCACCGGCUAACUACGUUCCAGCAGCCGCGGUAAUACGUAGGGUGCGAGCGUUGUCCGGAAUUACUGGGCGUAAAGAGCUCGUAGGCGGUUUGUCACGUCGUCUGUGAAAUCCUAGGGCUUAACGGUGGGUUUGCGCCGGGUACGGGCGGGCUAGAGUGCAGUAGGGGAGACUGGAAUUCCCGGUGUAACGGUGGAAUGUGUAGAUAUCGGGAAGAACACCAAUGGCGAAGGCAGGUCUCUGGGCUGUUACUGACGCUGAGAAGCGAAAGCGUGGGGAGCGAACAGG